CGCCGUCGCCGCCUCGGCCGCCGUCGCCGGUGUGGUGGUUUGAUGAUGGAGGGAGCCCCGUUGCUGACUUUUGGAGCGCUUUCGCUGCUCGAGGAGCUAAUGAUUCUGACGUAGCCAAUGGAAAUAUCACUCAAGAGGAUGUUAAGAAAAGGAAACCUCAACCAGAAAUGUGUGAGGACGAUUCUGAUGAUUAUUGUUUUAUUAGGAAGAGGAUGACCCAAGCACUUCGAUACUUAAAGGAAUCAGCCGGCCAACAAAUAUUAGUUCAAGUUUGGGCACCUGUUAAGAAUGGCAAUAAAUAUGUUCUCACAACUUCUGGUCAGCCAUUUGUCCUGGACCCUCAUAGCCUAGGACUUCACCAGUAUCGUACGGUGUCUAUGACAUAUGUUUUUUCAGCUGAUGGGGAUGGUGAUGGAGAUUUGGGACUUCCUGGUCGGGUCUUUAGAGGGAAAAUGCCAGAGUGGACACCUGAUGUACAAUUUUAUAGUAGUAAGGAAUAUCCUCGUCUUGUUCAUGCUCGCAAUUUUGAUGUUCGUGGAACCUUAGCGUUGCCAGUUUUUGAACCAUCUGGGCACUCUUGUGUUGGGGUGGUUGAACUUAUAAUGACGUCACGAAAGAUCAACUAUGCUCCUGAGGUUGAUAAAGUCUGCAAAGCUCUUGAGGCAGUAAAUCUUAAAAGUUAUGAUAUUUCAGACAUUCCAAGUGUUCAGAUAUGUAAUGAAGGUCGUCAAAAUGCUUUUGCUGAAAUAUUGGAGAUCCUAACUACAAUCUGCGAGGAACACAAGCUGCCUAUAGCUCAGACUUGGGUUCCAUGUAGGCAUCGCAAUGUUCUCACUUAUGGCGGUGGCUCACAAAAAAGCUGCUCAAGCUUUGAUGGGAGUUGCAUGGGACAAGUGUGCAUGUCAACGAGUGAUGUGGCAGUUUAUGUUAUUGACCCUCAAAUGUGGGGUUUCAGGGAUGCUUGUGUUGAACACCACCUUCAGAAGGGACAAGGGGUAGCUGGCAGGGCCUUUGAAUCCCGAAGCUCAUGCUUUUCUAGAGAUAUUACUCAAUUCUCCAAGACUGAAUAUCCACUUGUACAUUAUGCUCGGCUAUUUAAUCUUGCUGGAAGCCUUGCGGUAUGCCUUCAGAGCGUUCACACUGGCAAUGAUGACUACAUUCUCGAGUUUUUCUUGCCACCUGGCUGUAGGGACCCUGUUCAACAGAAGGUUCUGCUGGACUCUAUUUUAAACUUGAUGAAGCAAUGCUUCCGAAACUUAAGGAUAUCAGUCAAUGAAGAUAUCCAAGAAGGGAAAUCUCCAGGCUUUUUUGAUGUUUCUGAAACUGGGAACCGUGAACACGAACCAGGCCUCGCCCUUGGUCAAAGCUGUAGCACUCAUGUCAAUGCAAAUUCUCCUAAGGAUAACCCUGCCCAAGUAGAAAACUUGGUUCCUAAUAGGGCAAAAGCAGUCAAUACUGAAAGGAAUUACACAGAAUCUGCACCUUCAUUAGUCAACUUGAGUGCAAAAAAACCUGAAAGGAAGCGAGGGAAAGCUGAGAAAACAAUCAGUUUGGAAGUUCUUCAUAGGUAUUUUUCAGGAAGCCUAAAAGAUGCUGCAAAAGCCCUUGGCGUUUGUCCGACAACCAUGAAGCGUAUCUGUAGGCAACAUGGGAUAUCGCGAUGGCCGUCAAGAAAGAUCAAUAAGGUCAAUCGCUCUCUCUCAAAGUUGAAAAGAGUGAUCGAGUCUGUGCAGGGUGCUGAAGGAGCUUUUAACCUGCCAUCUCUUUCAUGUCAGCUUCCACUUGCUGUCAGUUUGGAUGGUUGUAGACAUGGUGGAGAUGGUGAACCUCUGAGUCUUCAGCAUGCUGAGUUAGAUAAAGACUCUUUACCACAUAAAUCACUACAGAGUGAUGACCAAUCCAAUAAUAAAAAAGCCCAGCAAGAAACUAUUCGAGCCCAUGCUGAUUCUAAUGUGGAGCCUGAUAAAGACUCUUCUAAAACAAUCUCUUCAGGAGAAGGGAGCUCGGAGGCCGCUACUUCUCAAGAAUCAUGUGAGGAAGUGAAUGUCACUGAUUCCCCCAACUUAAACAAUGGCUUCAAUGUGAAUGGUUUCUUGGGAUUCAGUAACCCGAUGCCAGAUGCCAGUAUAGAAGAGCCACAGCCAAUGCUUGGUAGAGUUCUCAUUGAAGAUUCAGGAAGCUCUAAAGAUUUAAAAAAUCUAUUCAGUAGCAUAGUAGAGGGAUGCCAUUAUGAAAAUUCUGUGUUGUAUACUAAUCAUGAACCAUCUCAUCCUACUGAGGUUCAAGGUUUGAGGACAGUGACUAUAAAAGCAAGUUACAGAGAAGAUAUUGUGAGGUUUCGGUUGCCAGGGAGCGCGGGUAUGAUGGAAUUGAGUGAAGAAGUGGCAAAAAGGCUGAAGUUAGAAGUUGGGACAUUUGAUAUCAGGUAUUUGGAUGAAGAUCAAGAGUGGGUUAUGCUAUCUUGUGAUGCAGACUUGAAAGAGUGCAUUGAAAUUUCAAGGUUGUCAGGUCUUCAUAUUAUCAGGUUAUCAGUCCAUGAUGUUGCUCCAUUGCUUGGGAGUUCCUGCGGGAGCUCAGCUGGACAGUAGCAUGUCACAGUUACUAGACUCUUUAGGUGCAGGGACCACGGUGGCUAUAGCAUAUCCAUGGAGUGUCAAUGUAUGACAAAGUUCAAGCACAGGUACAGAGCUAUAAAGAAGUUUCAUCCUUAUCGGUGGCCUCCAAGCUAUUACUUAAUUGAGAAAAGUUAGAUGCUAUGUUGCGUGGGUACGGGCACAUGUGUGGUUAACGGUACGGGUACGCGUGCGGGACACGACAAAUUUAUAAGAGGUAGGAAAUGGCAAAUGUGCAACCAUAUACGGGGUUUCUGAUUCUUGCAUAAGCUUCAUAGACCAUGCUUUUUACUGCAUCCUCCUUCCACACGUCAUCCACCAUCUGCGUACCUAUUACUGCAUGACACAAUGACUUGAGCGAGAUUGGCAUGCUGACUGAAAAGGUUGAAUAUCUUGUUCAGAUAAUACUAUGAUAUUUUGUAAUCUGCAGUUCUUGUCAAAAAAUUUCUAAUGUGAGUUAGCUGGGGCCUUCAAAUAAAUGUUACACUUGUUUCAAUUGUUUGAGUGCCGCCAAAUUGUUAGGAGCAAUGCCAGCAUCAAACCAUCAUAAAUACAUGCUGACAACUUUAGCAUGCUUCUGUUGCCUCCAAUGUUCUUGAGGAUAAUACUCAAAUCUGAAAGUGACUGCUUACCUACUUAUAAAUCUUCACGUUUUCUAUUUCAGUACCUAUGCGGUAUAUGAAAUGGGUAGACAAUUCAGUUUCU